CCCUCCACAAGACCUCUCCCUCGGUGUCGCGCGCGACACACCUGAAAAUAAUAAGA
rnacentral:rRNA from 1 species